rnacentral:rRNA from 1 species
UUCGACACACUAUCAUUAACUGAAUCCAUAGGUUAAUGAGGCGAACCGGGGGAACUGAAACAUCUAAGUACCCCGAGGAAAAGAAAUCAACCGAGAUUCCCCCAGUAGCGGCGAGCGAACGGGGAGGAGCCCAGAGCCUGAAUCAGCAUGUGUGUUAGUGGAAGCGUCUGGAAAGGCGCGCGAUACAGGGUGACAGCCCCGUACACAAAAGCGCAUGUGCUGUGAGCUCGAUGAGUAGGGCGGGACACGUGGUAUCCUGUCUGAAUAUGGGGGGACCAUCCUCCAAGGCUAAAUACUCCUGACUGACCGAUAGUGAACCAGUACCGUGAGGGAAAGGCGAAAAGAACCCCGGCGAGGGGAGUGAAAAAGAACCUGAAACCGUGUACGUACAAGCAGUGGGAGCCCCACCACUAAGCCAGUGGUGAACUCCACAUACGCAUCCUUUGCUGAGGAUACGGUUAACGGAGCGAAAGCGACGUUCAACCUCAAAAGAAGCAGAGGGGGCUUAG